UACAGAGGGGGCAAGCGUUGUUCGGAAUUACUGGGCGUAAAGGGCGCGUAGGCGGCCUCCUAAGUCGAACGUGAAAUCCCCGGGCUCAACCCGGGAACUGCGUCCGAUACUGGAAGGCUUGAAUCCGGGAGAGGGAUGCGGAAUUCCAGGUGUAGCGGUGAAAUGCGUAGAUAUCUGGAGGAACACCGGUGGCGAAGGCGACAUCCUGGACCGGUAUUGACGCUGAGGCGCGAAAGCCAGGGGAGCAAACGGG
rnacentral:rRNA from 1 species